rnacentral:rRNA from 1 species
GAUGAACGCUGGCGGCGUGCCUAAUACAUGCAAGUCGAGCGAACAGACGAGGAGCUUGCUCCUCUGACGUUAGCGGCGGACGGGUGAGUAACACGUGGAUAACCUACCUAUAAGACUGGGAUAACUUCGGGAAACCGGAGCUAAUACCGGAUAAUAUAUUGAACCGCAUGGUUCAAUAGUGAAAGACGGUUUUGCUGUCACUUAUAGAUGGAUCCGCGCCGCAUUAGCUAGUUGGUAAGGUAACAGCUUACCAAGGCAACGAUGCGUAGCCGACCUGAGAGGGUGAUCGGCCACACUGGAACUGAGACACGGUCCAGACUCCUACGGGAGGCAGCAGUAGGGAAUCUUCCGCAAUGGGCGAAAGCCUGACGGAGCAACGCCGCGUGAGUGAUGAAGGUCUUCGGAUCGUAAAACUCUGUUAUUAGGGAAGAACAAAUGUGCAAGUAACUAUGCACGUCUUGACGGUACCUAAUCAGAAAGCCACGGCCAACUACGUG